CCUACGGGUGGCUGCAGUGGGGAAUAUUGGACAAUGGGGGGAACCCUGAUCCAGCCAUGCCGCGUGUGUGAAGAAGGCCCUCGGGUUGUAAAGCACUUUCAGUGAGGAAGAACGCCUGGUGGUUAAUACCCAUCAGGAAAGACAUCACUCACAGAAGAAGCACCGGCUCACUCCGUGCCAGCAGCCGCGGUAAUACGGAGGGUGCGAGCGUUAAUCGGAAUUACUGGGCGUAAAGCGCGCGUAGGUGGCUUGAUAAGCCGGUUGUGAAAGCCCCGGGCUCAACCUGGGAACGGCAUCCGGAACUGUCAAGCUAGAGUGCAGGAGAGGAAGGUAGAAUUCCCGGUGUAGCGGUGAAAUGCGUAGAGAUCGGGAGGAAUACCAGUGGCGAAGGCGGCCUUCUGGACUGACACUGACACUGAGGUGCGAAAGCGUGGGUAGCAAACAGGAUUAGAUACCCUAGUAGU
rnacentral:rRNA from 1 species